GCCACCACGUGAGAUUACCUGCGGAUUUAGACACACCGUCAUUCAUUGGCUGAGGACGCCAGUGCUACUUUACUUUUACAUGAGGUUCUGGUGCAUCCCGUGUGGGUUCUGCCAGCUGAUAUCGGCGGUGCUCAUCUCCAUUUCCGAGGAUGUGAGCCAUUGCUGUCUGAAGACGAACCUGUGGUCAUGUGGCCAGCACGAUGCCAGAGAGUGCUGCUACCUUUCCACCAAGAUGAUAAAAGAGGAGCUUAAGAUAUCUUCACAAGGAAAAUCUCAAUGUACACUCAGAGCUAUGUCAGUGGAGUCACCAGCAGAGGCAUAUGGCUGAGAUUACGCUAACCAAGCCCAGCUUGUGCUUAACCAAGAAAUGAUCUGAGGACAGAAUCACAGGAACAACUGACCGGGUGAGUCUGAGAAAUGCACACUCUGCACCAUUGUUUUUCUGCUGCCAACUCCACUCCGUCCAGUCCACUAGAAGUGUGCACCAGCCACAAGGCUUGCCUUAGUUCUGAUGAUUUGGAGCAUUAGAAAGCAGACACAUUUGGUUAUCUGCUGCAUCUCAGGUAGUGAAACACAGUUAAGGUUUGGAAAUCCAAAGCUUCAUGU